AGCUCCAAUAGCGUAUAUUAAAGUUGUUGCAGUUAAAAAGCUCGUAGUUGAAUUUUGGGCUUUGCUUGUUGGUCCACCUAACGGUGAGUACUAGCAAGCUGGGCUCCACUUUUUGGGUACUUUGUUUGCCUUUAACUGGGUGGGUAAAUGGUCCAAGACUUUUACUUUGAAAAAAUUAGAGUGUUCAAAGCAGGCUUACGCUUGAAUACAUUAGCAUGGAAUAAUGGAAUAGGACUUUGGUUCUAUUU
rnacentral:rRNA from 1 species